rnacentral:misc_RNA from 1 species
GGUGAAGAACGUAGCGAAAUGCGAUAAGUAAUGUGAAUUGCAGAAUUCAGUGAAUCAUCGAAUCUUUGAACGCACAUUGCGCCCGCCAGUAUUCUGGCGGGCAUGCCUGUUCGAGCGUCAUUUCAACCCUCAAGCCCCCAGUGCCUGGUGUUGGGGAUCGGCCCAGCCUUCCUGUAAGGCCGCCGGCCCCGAAAUCUAGUGGCGGUCUCGCUGUAGUCCUCCUCUGCGUAGUAGCACAACCUCGCAGUUGGAACGCGGCGGUGGCCAUGCCGUUAAACACCCCACUUCUGAAAGUUGACCUCGGAUCAGGUAGGAAUACCCGCUGAACUUAAGCAUAUCAAUAAGCGGAGGA